rnacentral:rRNA from 1 species
UACAGAGGUCCCAAGCGUUGUUCGGAUUUACUGGGCGUAAAGCGCACGUAGGCGGAUCGUUAAGUCGGGGGUGAAAUCCUGGAGCUCAACUCCAGAACUGCCUUCGAUACUGGCGAUCUUGAGUCCGGAAGAGGUGAGUGGAACUCCUAGUGUAGAGGUGGAAUUCGUAGAUAUUAGGAAGAACACCAGUGGCGAAGGCGGCUCACUGGUCCGGUACUGACGCUGAGGUGCGAAAGCGUGGGGAGCAAGCAGG